rnacentral:rRNA from 1 species
GAUGAACGCUGGCGGCGUGCCUAAUACAUGCAAGUCGAGCGAACGGACGAGAAGCUUGCUUCUCUGAUGUUAGCGGCGGACGGGUGAGUAACACGUGGAUAACCUACCUAUAAGACUGGGAUAACUUCGGGAAACCGGAGCUAAUACCGGAUAAUAUUUUGAACCGCAUGGUUCAAAAGUGAAAGACGGUCUUGCUGCACCUUAUAGAUGGAUCCGCGCUGCAUAAGCUAGUUGGUAAGGUAACGGCUUACCAAGGCAACGAUGCAUAGCCGACCUGAGAGGGUGAUCGGCCACACUGGAACUGAGACACGGUCCAGACUCCUACGGGAGGCAGCAGUAGGGAAUCUUCCGCAAUGGGCGAAAGCCUGACGGAGCAACGCCGCGUGAGUGAUGAAGGUCUUCGGAUCGUAAAACUCUGUUAUUAGGGAAGAACAUAUGUGUAAGUAACUGUGCACAUCUUGACGGUACCUAAUCAGAAAGCCACGGCUAACUACGUG